rnacentral:rRNA from 1 species
AAACAUCGCCUCCUGCUAUAUUUAAACAUAGGAGGUCUUGCCUGCCCAGUGAAUAAUUAAACGGCCGCGGUAUUUUGACCGUGCGAAGGUAGCGCAAUCACUUGUCUUUUAAAUAGAGACCUGUAUGAAUGGUGGAACGAGGGCUUAACUGUCUCCCCCCUCUAGUCAAUGAAAUUGAUCUGCCCGUGCAAAAGCGGACAUACAAAUACAAGACGAGAAGACCCUUUGGAGCUUAAGAUAAAAAAUCACCUAUGUUAAAAAUAAAAUAAAACCAAAUUAACCAAAUAGCACCUGAUUUUAAUCUUCGGUUGGGGCGACCACGGGAGAAAACAAAGCUCCCAUGCAGAUUGGGACAAAAAUCCUAUAACCAAGAAAAACACUUCUAAGUACCAAAACAUUUGACUACAACGAUCCAGCCAAAUGCUGAUCAACGAACCAAGUUACCCAAGGGAUAACAGCGCAAUCCCCUUUAAGAGUCCAUAUCGACAAGGGGGUUUACGACCUCGAUGUUGGAUCAGGACAUCCUAAUGGUGCAGCCGCUAUUAAGGGUUCGUUUGUUCAACGAUUAAAGUCCUACGUGAU